ensembl:ncRNA Y39A3CL.10 ncRNA
UCCCGCAUUUUUGGUAGAUCUAUGUAGAUCAAACCGACAUGGGACACUCUGACAUCACGUGCCGCGGCAGAGAUAGAGCGCUUCGAAGUUUGAUGCGGCGAGAGAGCGGAGACGCAGAGCACCCCGCAGAACAAAAUCUAUAUAUCUCAG